rnacentral:tRNA from 1 species
AUUUUGUAAGUACUAAGUACUUUAGCCUUUCCAAGCUAAAAGCCUAUUUAUAGACAAAAUA